rnacentral:rRNA from 1 species
GUAACGGCCCACCAAGGCGACGAUCGGUAGCCGGACUGAGAGGUUGAACGGCCACAUUGGGACUGAGACACGGCCCAGACUCCUACGGGAGGCAGCAGUGGGGGAUAUUGCACAAUGGGGGAAACCCUGAUGCAGCAACGCCGCGUGAGGGAAGAAGGUUUUCGGAUUGUAAACCUCUGUUCUUAGUGACGAUAAUGACGGUAGCUAAGGAGAAAGCUCCGGCUAACUACGUGCCAGCAGCCGCGGUAAUACGUAGGGAGCGAGCGUUGUCCGGAUUUACUGGGUGUAAAGGGUGCGUAGGCGGCGAGGCAAGUCAGGCGUGAAAUCUAUGGGCUUAACCCAUAAACUGCGCUUGAAACUGUUUUGCUUGAGUGAAGUAGAGGUAGGCGGAAUUCCCGGUGUAGCGGUGAAAUGCGUAGAGAUCGGGAGGAACACCAGUGGCGAAGGCGGCCUACUGGGCUUUAACUGAC